rnacentral:lncRNA from 1 species
AGUUCCUAACCAAAGUCAUGCCAAAAGAAGUUCUUUGAAGAUGAAGAAAAGCCCCUGGAUUUGGAAAAAGCACUGACCUGUGGAAAGUUCUUCAUUGUCUCCUUAAGUUUCAUUACAUUUGCUAUUAGUGAAUGUUCAGCUUACAGGAGCUACUUUGAUUUGGAUUUAUGGAGAAUACGCCCUUUUUGAAAACCAAUAGAGGGCUCAACUAACUCUAGCCAAACUCUACAAUAGGAAAGGAAGGAUAAUACAUGGAUGGGCACAAUGGCAAUUCAUCUUUCUGCUGGAAGCUGUGUUGUGGAGUUUUGUUGUUUAGUGUCUGUCAGCACUUUCAUCCUGGGGAAUUUAAAUUUCUCUAACAACAGCCGGACUGCAAAUAAAAGUUUGCAUAUAAAGUAUCAGAACUCAGAACUAUUAAUUUUUUUAUUAAUUUUCCAAAUGAGGUUAAGUCUUAAGAUAUGAAAAAGUACUUGGGUGGCACUCAGCAUAACAAGAAGGAAAUUAUUAGCUUGGCAUUUGUUUAAUCUUGUAAAACAUUUCUUUAAAAGGACAGUGAGAUGAAUAUUUAAAAUGUGAUCUCAAAUCCCACAAAAAAUAUGUAUUCAUCCAGGAACUGAGCUACAUUUGAUGUGUCUAGCUUUUCUAGGCACUGUAAUUACUCUACUAGCUUUGAGAAUAACUUAUUCAAAAUCUAACCAUGUAUGUUCAACAGGUUUCCUUUCAGGAACGCUUCAGCUGCUGAUGGAUCACAAAAGGAAGGACCAUGUCCUGUCUUUGAAGAUAUGGAUAAAAGGUAGGACUGCAGCCUCUUCUUUUGGGGGAGCCAUCCAGCUUGCCAGCUGUCAAGCCCUGCCCAUCUCUCAAGCACAUACCAAUAGCCUUACUUGUCCUGCUCAUCCCCCUGGCUCCUGCCUGGAGCAACGCGGUGUUCCCCGUCCCCGCAGCGCCGGGAGGUCCCACAUCAGGGCUGGGAGCACAGCAGGGGCACACGGACCUCAGGGAUCGCGUCUGGUUUAACAUUGGACAUUCAGAGUGAAACAGAACAAGAGGAAACAAAACCCAGUAGGAGAAGCAAACCGAAGUAUUCUUUUUCCACCGAACCUUUUAAGGAUAUUUUUAAUAAACAUUUGAAGAACAUUGUCGCA